CCUACGGGAGGCAGCAGUGAGGAAUAUUGGUCAAUGGACGAGAGUCUGAACCAGCCAAGUAGCGUGAAGGAUGACUGCCCUAUGGGUUGUAAACUUCUUUUAUAUGGGAAUAAAACGUUCCACGUGUGGGAUUUUGUAUGUACCAUAUGAAUAAUGAUCGGCUAACUCCGUUCCAGCAGCCGCGGUAAUACGGAGGAUCCGAGCGUUAGCCGGAUUUAUUGGGUUUAAAGGGAGCGUAGGUGGAUUGUUAAGUCAGUUGUGAAAGUUUUCGGCUCAACCGUAAAAUUGCAUGUGAAACUGGCAGUCUUGAGUAGAGUAGAGGUGGGCGGAAUUCGUGGUGUAGCGGUGAAAUGCUUAGAUAUCACGAAGAACUCCGAUUGCGAAGGCAGUUCACUGGACUGCAACUGACACUGAGGCUCGAAAGUGUGGGUAUCAAACAGGAUUAGAUACCCUUGUAGUC
rnacentral:rRNA from 1 species